UCUACAUGAAGAGGAAUCCAAAAACGAGAGAAAGAAAGUUUCACCAUGAAUCGUCUUGGUUUGGCAUUACUUGUUCUGGUUGCACUGGCUGGCAUUAUCAGUGAACACAAUGGUGUUGAAGCAGCUGCGCACACCUGCAGAGAACAUAAAGGUGUCUGCCGUCCAAACUGCUGUAUUAAAGGGGAGUUAAAUAUGGGUCACCAUGAAGGCUGCCUAGGAAAUGAAGUCUGCUGUCUAACAUAAAGAAACUGGUUAUCAUGCAAGAAAUAACUACCAAGGAGAGACAAAACCAUUUGUUUCUGGAGAUGCCUUCAUGUUUCAUGCAGCUAUGACUGUUAUUCUUUAUUCAUAUCAUCUCUGCAUUUGCUUAUUAAACACUUAACUAACAGGCAGAAUUAUUUUACAUCAUGCAAUUAAAAUACUUGAUAAAAGCAGUUUUAAUUUCCUCAGCAGUAUUAAUGAAUAUGUGGAUAUUUGGCAUGCUCAGCUUUAAAUGUUUUGUUAUGCUCAUUUUGAAUAAAAUGUACAUUUAACAAAUGUA